rnacentral:misc_RNA from 1 species
CAUUCCCCCUUUCUCCCAUGAACGUAUGCUCUAAUGGAUAGUAGAACUGCUUUUUCGGAUUCCAAUGAUAUUAGUGGAAGCAGUAGUAUAUGCUGCAUGAACGAAUCGGAAACUUCACUGGCAGACGUCAAUUCCCUCAAACGUCUAUCAGAAACACUAGAGUCUAUCUUCGAUGCGUCUGCGCCGGAUUUCGACUUCUUCGCUGAUGCUAAGCUUCUGGCUCCAGGCGGUAAGGAAAUUCCGGUGCAUCGGUGCAUUUUGUCGGCGAGGAGUCCUUUUUUUAAG